rnacentral:rRNA from 1 species
AACGAACGCUGGCGGCAUGCCUAACACAUGCAAGUCGAACGAGACCUUCGGGUCUAGUGGCGCACGGGUGCGUAACGCGUGGGAACCUGCCCUUAGGUUCGGAAUAACUCCCCGAAAGGGGUGCUAAUACCGGUUAAUGUCUUCGGACCAAAGAUUUAUCGCCUUUGGAUGGGCCCGCGUUGGAUUAGCUAGUUGGUAGGGUAAAAGCCUACCAAGGCGACGAUCCAUAGCUGGUCUGAGAGGAUGAUCAGCCACACUGGGACUGAGACACGGCCCAGACUCCUACGGGAGGCAGCAGUAGGGUAUAUUGGACGAUGGGCGAAAGCCUGAUCCAGCAAUGCCGCGUGAGUGAUGAAGGCCUUAGGGUUGUAAAGCUCUUUUACCCGGGAUGAUAAUGACAGUACCGGGAGAAUAAGCUCCGGCUAACUCCGUG